rnacentral:rRNA from 1 species
AACGAACGCUGGCGGCAGGCUUAACACAUGCAAGUCGAACGGAUCCUUCGGGAUUAGUGGCAGACGGGUGAGUAACGCGUGGGAACGUACCCUUUGCUACGGAAUAACUCAGGGAAACUUGAGCUAAUACCGUAUGUGCCCUACGGGGGAAAGAUUUAUCGGCAAAGGAUCGGCCCGCGUUGGAUUAGCUGGUUGGUGGGGUAAUGGCCUACCAAGGCGACGAUCCAUAGCUGGUCUGAGAGGAUGAUCAGCCGCACUGGGACUGAGACACGGCCCAGACUCCUACGGAAGGCAGCAGUGGGGAAUAUUGGACGAUGGGCGCAAGCCUGAUCCAGCCAUGCCGCGUGAGUGAUGAAGGUCUUAGGAUUGUAAAGCUCUUUCACCGGUGAAGAUAAUGACGGUAGCCGGAGAAGAAGCCCCAGCUAACUUCGUG